CAGGGAAUCUUGCGCAAUGGGCGAAAGCCUGACGCAGCAACGCCGCGUGGGGGAAGAAGGCCUUCGGGUUGUAAACCCCUUUCAGGAGGGAAGAAAAUGACGGUACCUCCAGAAGAAGCACCGGCCAACUACGUGCCAGCAGCCGCGGUAAUACGUAGGGUGCGAGCGUUAUCCGGAAUCAUUGGGCGUAAAGAGCUCGUAGGCGGUUCAACAAGUCGGCUGUGAAAGUCCGGGGCUCAACCCCGGAAUUGCAGUCGAUACUGUUGUGACUUGAGUCCGGUAGAGGAGAAUGGAAUUCCCGGUGUAGCGGUGGAAUGCGCAGAUAUCGGGAGGAACACCAGUAGCGAAGGCGGUUCUCUGGGCCGGCACUGACGCUGAGGAGCGAAAGCGUGGGGAGCAA
rnacentral:rRNA from 1 species